CGGACGGGUGAGUAACGCGUGGGUAACCUGCCUCACACUGGGGGAGUAACAGUUAGAAAUAGCUGCUAAUACCGCAUAAGCGCACGGUUCCGCAUGGAACAGUGUGAAAAACUCCGGUGGUGUGAGAUGGACCCGCGUCUGAUUAGCCAGUUGGCGGGGUAACGGCCCACCAAAGCGACGAUCAGUAGCCGGCCUGAGAGGGUGAACGGCCACAUUGGGACUGAGACACGGCCCAA
rnacentral:rRNA from 1 species